UACGGAGGGUGCAAGCGUUGUCCGAAAUCACUGGGUGUAAAGGGUGUGCAGGCGGAGCAGUAAGUCAGUGGUGAAAGCCCCCGGCUUAACCGGGGAAUUGCCUCUGAUACUGCUGUUCUGAGUCCCGGAGAGGCUGCCGGAAUUCGUGGUGUAGCGGUGAAAUGCAUAGAUAUCACGAAGAACACCAGUGGCGAAGGCGGCCAACUGGUCCGAUACUGACGCUGAGACACGAGAGCGUGGGGAGCGAACAGG
rnacentral:rRNA from 1 species